rnacentral:rRNA from 2 species
UACGUAGGGGGCAAGCGUUAUCCGGAUUUACUGGGUGUAAAGGGAGCGUAGACGGCUUUGCAAGUCUGACGUGAAACUCCGGGGCUCAACUCCGGAACUGCGUUGGAAACUGUAAGGCUUGAGUGCCGGAGAGGUAAGCGGAAUUCCUAGUGUAGCGGUGAAAUGCGUAGAUAUUAGGAGGAACACCAGUGGCGAAGGCGGCUUACUGGACGGCAACUGACGUUGAGGCUCGAAAGCGUGGGGAGCAAACAGG